rnacentral:rRNA from 1 species
AUUGAACGCUGGCGGCAGGCCUAACACAUGCAAGUCGAACGUGUCGCGGACGUGUGAGUUAUGUCUGGGAAACUGCCUGAUGGAGGGCGAUAACUUCUGGACACUGUAUCUAAUCCCGCAUACCAUCAUUUGUGCCCAUAUGGUAUUCGCUAGUUGUUGGGGUAACGGCUCACCAAGGCGACGCUCCCUAGCUGGUCUGAGAGGAUGACCAGCCACACUGGAACUGAGACACGGUCCAGACUCCUACGGGAGGCAGCAGUGGGGAAUAUUGCACAAUGGGCGCAAGCAUGAUGCAGCCAUGCCGCGUGUAUGAAGAAGGCCUUCGGGUUGUAAAGUACUUUCAGCGGGGAGGCGGUACCCGAAGAAGAAGCACCGGCUAACUCCGUGCCAGCAGCCGCGGUAAUUG